rnacentral:rRNA from 1 species
CCUACGGUGGCUGCAGUGGGGAAUAUUGGACAAUGGGCGAAAGCCUGAUCCAGCCAUGCCGCGUGUGUGAAGAAGGCCUUCGGGUUGUAAAGCACUUUCAGUGGGGAAGAAAGCCUUGGGGCUAAUACCCUCGAGGAAGGACAUCACCCACAGAAGAAGCACCGGCUAACUCCGUGCCAGCAGCCGCGGUAAUACGGAGGGUACGAGCGUUAAUCGGAAUUACUGGGCGUAAAGCGCGCGUAGGCGGUCUGAUAAGCCGGUUGUGAAAGCCCCGGGCUCAACCUGGGAACGGCAUCCGGAACUGUCAGGCUAGAGUGCAGGAGAGGAAGGUAGAAUUCCCGGUGUAGCGGUGAAAUGCGUAGAGAUCGGGAGGAAUACCAGUGGCGAAGGCGGCCUUCUGGACUGACACUGACGCUGAGGUGCGAAAGCGUGGGUAGCAAACAGGAUUAGAUACCCUGGUAGUC